rnacentral:rRNA from 1 species
GAUGAACGCUGGCGGCGUGCCUAAUACAUGCAAGUCGAGCGAACAGACGAGGAGCUUGCGCCUCUGACGUGAGCGGCGGGCGGGUGAGUCACGCGUGGAUAACCUACCUAUAAGACUGGGAUAACCUCGGGAAACCGGCGCUAAUACCGGAGAAUAUAUUGAACCGCGUGGUGCAAUAGAAAAAGUCGGUGUUGGGGGCUCUUAUAGAUGGAUCCGCGCCGGAUUGGCUGGUUGGGAAGGUAACGGCUUACCAAGGCGACGAUGCGUAGCCGACCGAAGAGGGUGGUCGGCCACCCUGGAACUGAGACACGGACCAGACUACUACGGGAGGCAGCAGUAGGGAAUCUGCCGCAAUGGGCGAGAACCUGACGGAGCAACGGCACGUGAGUGAUGAAGGUCUUCGGAGCGUAAUGCUCUGUUAUUGGGUAUGAACAACUGUGUAAGUAGCUAUGGACGUCUUGACGGUACCUGGUCAGAAAGCCACGGCUAACUACGUG